UCAGUUUUCUAUUUGAUACUGUCUUCUCUAGAUCCAAGUUUUCUUCAUUUGUAAAGAUAGUGCACUGAGUCACAUUUUUAACUUUUUGGUUCUUUCUUGCCUAGUUUUGAACAUGAUUUCUCUCCAGGGAGAAUUCCUUAUAUUGGAACGAAUAGUGUUCCUGAAUUUUUUUCAGACUGUUUUCUUAGGCUUUUUUUUUUUUAAUAAAAAAAAAAAAAAAAAGACAACAGCUACAACAGUUUUACCAUGAAUUCCAUUGUUUGGAAUGAAAAGGGUUGCUUUAAGAAAAAAAAAGAUUAAACAAACUGAGGGCUGAUGUGGUGUGGGUGGGGGGAUGGGUUAAAUGGGUGAUGGGCAUUAAGGAGGGCCCUUUUUGGUUUGAGCACUGGGUUAUGUGUAAGAGAUGAAUUCCUGGGUUCUACUCCUGGAGCCAAGACUAUAGUGUAUGUUAAUGAAAUUGAGAAUAAAAAAACAAAGAAAACAGAUUAGUCUUUCCAAAUUGGAAUUAAUUUUGCCUCAAAGACUAGGUGAUGGGUGACCAGAUACAUCAUGUAACUAUGAUAAAAUACUGUCUAGAUACUUUUGAGCAAUUGAAAAAAAAAAUUUUUUUUUAAAGUUUAUUUUUGAGAGUGAGAGAGAGAGUGCAAGCAGGGAGGGGCAGAGAGAGAAGGAGACACAGAAUCCAAAGCAGGUUCCAGGCUCUGAACUGUCAGCACAGAGCCCGACACGGGGCUCGAACCACAAACUGUGAGAUUGUGACCUGAACCGAAGUUGGAUGAUUAACAGACUGAGCCACCCAGGCACCCCUUGAGUGAUUUUUUUUUAUCUGUUUUCCCCAUAUUUUAUAUUUUCCAGGAACUUCUAGGGAUAUCAUACAUUUUGAACUAGGAUUUUGCUUAAAGUUCUUUCUUGGGGGCGCCUGGUAGAAGGUGGGAGUGGAAAGGUUGAUUUUUUUUUUUUUUUAUAGUAGUUAUGGAAAAAUGGAUUUUUGUCUCAGGCACACAGAGUAUGAUGUAGGUUUGCUUUAAUGUGAUAGUGGAAAUGAGAUGCAAUUUUUGGAGAGUUGGCUAUUUUGGAAUUACCUCAUUUCAAAUUGUAGGUGUAACAGUAUUUGGAAUCAGUUUUGGAGGAUCCAGUUAACUUUUGUCCAGAAGAGACUCUUGCUUUUCCACUAAAUACAGGCUUUCUAAAUUAAAAAAAAAAAAAAUUUUUUUUUAACAUUUAUUCAUUAUUGAGAGACAGAGAGACAGAGCACAAGCAUGGGAGGGGCAGAGAGAGGGGAAGACACAGAAUCUGAAGCAGGCUUCAGGCUCCAAGUGGUCAGCACAGAACCUGAUGUGGGGCUCGAACCCAUGAGCAGUGAGAUCAUGACCUGAGCCAAAGUCGGACACCCAACCGACUGAGCCACCCAGGUGCCCCAGGUUUUCUAAAUUUUAGGAAAUAUUGAGUGCCUCCUAUAUGUUAGCUAUUGUGCUAAGCCCUGGAGGUACUCUGGACAAAUAAAUAGGAUCCUGCCGUCAUGGGCAUGGGUGAUGGGGAAAAAAACAGAUGCUAAACAAACAAGUCACUACUAACUGUGGUAAAGGUCUAGAUAGGAAAGUAUAGAAUAUGAUGAUGAGGCCUGGGUGGGGACACCUAAUUUAAAUUGGAUGUGUGGUGGGGAUGGAAGAUACUCUUAAAGAAGUGCAAUGUAAGUUAGGCCCUGGAGGAUGAGUAGAAAUUUACAUGGAGGUGGUGGGUGGGUCUAAGGAAGAGCUGAUCCAGGAGCUGAUCAGGAACAAGUGAUGAAGACCUGAAGCAUUUAAAAGAGCUUGGUACACUUGCCUGAGAAGAUCAUAACUAGUCUUGAGCCGUUUGAGAGAAUGUUGUGAGAUAGAUGGACUGGAGUGAGGCAGGACUUUGUAAAUCAUGUUAAAGGGUUUUUAUUUAGGUGCAGUAGGAGUUGAUAGAAUUUAAAAUUUAAAAGUAUGAUUGCCUUUUUUUGUGGAGAAUGGAUUUAUCUGAGAAGGGGAAGAGAAGAAGCAGGGUGUUACUUAGGUUAUUGCAAUAUUAUUCCAUGGGGGAGUUGAUGUUGCUCUCCACUAGUGUUGUAUCAUGCGGGGGGCAGUGUGGGUGGCUUUGAGAUAAAUUUUGGAGUUUUAAAUUAGGAGCAUCCAAGUUGAUGUUGAUCAUAGGCUUUGGAAUAAGAUGAAAAGCUUAUUUUUAUAUUUAGUGGGAUUAUUACAGUAGAAAGGGUACAACCUUAAAGCUCUGGAAAGAAAAUGUUACUGGCGUGCCAAACAUUAUGAAAGAAUUGGGCUAUACUUUCCAAAAAGAACAGUGUAUAGGAUAGAAAAAUGAAUUACUUAUGAAAUAAUUUCUUUGUGUGAAUUGUUUAUAUGACCCUUUUUGUGGCCCUAGUUCCUAAUAAAACAGAAAUAUUAGAAAUUUGAAGAGACCAAAUUGUCUAUUAUUAGCUGCCUUUGAGAGAGCAAAAGCUGAAAGUAUGUACUUUCUGGUUAACUGGGAGAUCAAUAAUUGAUACUUGUGCGAGGAAAGUAUUCCUAUGAAGUUCUUGUUUUUGCAUGUUAUGUAGAGCUAAUUAUAGCAGGUGGAUCUUGGAUCUUUUGGAUUCAAAGAAAAGGCAAGUUACUUUGUUAACUAAAGUUCAGACUGCUUAUCCCAUUUACCCUCUUAUGUUGAAUUGCAGAAAUCAUGAAAAUAGUUCCUUAGAAUCACUAAUGAGCUAAAAUACAAUUUUGUAUACAAAGUGGGUAGACUAUUUGACAGGAACUUUAUGCCAUUAGGUUCUAAAUUAAAAAAAAAAUUUUUUUUUUAAUGUUUAUUUUUGAGAGAGAGAAGCAAGUGUGGGAGGGGCAGAGGGAGACACAGAAUCUGAAGCAGGCUCCAGGCUCUGAGCUGUCAGCACAGAGCCCAAGGUGGGGCUCGAACCCAUGAAUUGUGAGAUCAUGACCUUAGCCGAAGUCAGCACUUAACCAACUGAGCUACCCAGGCACCCCUGAAUUGGGUUUUCUACAUUAAAACAUUUUUUUCUUGACUUAACAAGAUACAUGUUUGUUGUAACAAAAAAACACUAUGUUGCUAAAGUUUCUUGUCCUUCUCAUUAUUUUUAUUUGUUGUGUAUCCUUGUAUACCUUUUUUCCAGACUUCUGCAAAUAUACAUAGGGGAGUGGGUGUGUUUAAACAAAUAGGAUCAUACUAUAUUUUGUAAAAUUUCUACACCUAUAUUUUAGACAUCCAUAGAUAGGAAUCUACCUUCUUAAAUGUGUAAUUAUAAAAAAAAAAUUAUUUAUUUUGAGAGGGAGAGAGAGAGAGAAAGAGGGUGCUAGUGGGGUAGGGGCAAAGAGAGGGGAGAGAGAAUCCCAAGCAGUCUUUGUGUUCUGUGCUGAGCUGGACUUUGGGCUCAAUGUAACCACCCUCAGAUCAUGACCUGAGCUGAAAUCAACAGUCGGACGCUUAACCAAUUGACCCACCCAGGCGCUCCUGUACUUCUAUUUCUGUUGGAUAGAGUUCCAGAUGUGAAAUUGCUGGGGCAUAGAAUAUGCAGUUGACCCUGUAUAUCAGUGUGCAGUUCAGGGGUGCUGACUUCUGUGCAGUCAAAAAUCUGUAUGUCAAAAAAGAUUCCAAUAACUUCACUGCUAGUAGCCUACUGUUGACCAGAAGCCUUACUGAUAACGUAAAUGGUCGAUUAACACUUAAUUUUGUAUAUAUGUUCUAUUUAAAGUAAGUUAGGCAAAAGAAAAUCUUACUAAGAUCAUAGAGGAAAUACAUUUAUACCACUGUACUGUAUCAAAAAAUCCAUGCAUAACUGGACCCACACAUUUCAAACCUGUGUUCAGGGGUCAGCUGUAUAUGCUUAAAGUACUGCUGCCAGGAUACUUUACACAAAUAUAAAGGAUUAAUUUGUAACAGGAAGAUAAGUGAUUUCUCUCACUGGAAUUGUGAGGAUUGUAAUGAGUUAAAAGUAUGCAACGUUUUUAAGACAAAGCCAGACACAGUAAAUAUUGUCAAGUAUUUUCUAGUAUUGCUGUUACUACCUUUUUGUAUUUUUUUAAUUAAUCCUAUUCAUUAGUGGAUUAUGUUAGGAUAAUAAAAUGAAGCUAUUGAAGUUUGCCUUAAGGGUUCAUAAUUUGCAGCUUUUAAUGUGCAAAUCUUAAUGCCUCAAGAAUUUGCUGUGUUGGGGGUUCCUGGGUAGCUCAGUAGGUUACUUGUCUGACUCUUGAUCUUGCUCAGGUCUUUAUCUCAGGCUCAUGAGGUUAAGCUCCACUUUGGGCUUCACACUGGGUGUGGACUUUACUUAAAAAAGAAAAGGGGUGCCUGGGUGGCUCAGUUGGUUGACUGUUCGACUUCAGCUCAGGUCAUAAUCUUGCUCAUGUCAUGAUCUCAUGGUGAGUUUGAGCCCUGUACGGGCUCUCUGUCAGCACAGAGCCUCCUUCGGAUCCUCUGUCCUUCCUCUCUGCUCCUCCCCUGCUUGAGUUUUCUCUGUCUCUGUCUCUGUCUCUCUCUCUUUC